AGUGAACGCUGGCGGUAGGCCUAACACAUGCAAGUCGAACGGCCGCACAGUAAGCGCUUGCUCUUACGGGUGGCGAGUGGCGGACGGGUGAGGAAUACAUCGGAAUCUACUUUUUCUUGGGGGAUAACGUAGGGAAACUUACGCUAAUACCGCAUACGACCUACGGGUGAAAGCAGGGGAUCUUCGGACCUUGCGCGAUUGAAUGAGCCGAUGUCGGAUUAGCUAGUUGGCGGGGUAAAGGCCCACCAAGGCGACGAUCCGUAGCUGGUCUGAGAGGAUGAUCAGCCACACUGGAACUGAGACACGGUCCAGACUCCUACGGGAGGCAGCAGUGGGGAAUAUUGGACAAUGGGCGCAAGCCUGAUGCAGCCAUACCGCGUGAGUGAAGAAGGCCUUCGGGUUGUAAAGCCCUGUUGUUGGGAAAGAAAAGCAGCAGGUUAAUCCCCCGAUGUUCUGACGGUACCCAAAGAAUAAGCACCGGCUAACUUCGUG
rnacentral:rRNA from 1 species